CUCAGCCUGCCAGCAGCCUGCCAGGCAUCUUGGAAACCGACCCAGAGAAGAGGAGAGCAGCGGCGGGGGUGGAAGGCGGCAGCUUCCCCUGCCCAGACCCAGCGGAGAGGGAAGCGGGCCCAGGCGGAAGGGGGGUCGGGUGGAAGGGCAACGCGGCAUCCAGGACCGGCCUGGCCGCCCACCGAAAAGGACUGACUCCGCUCGCCCGGCGUUUCCCGAGCUGCGCCCGAGGCUCCUUGGCUUCGGGUGGCGCGUUUGGUUGGAGAAGGAUGCCUCGCGCUCCGUCGCCCGGGCUGCCGCGCCUCGAAGAUCCAGAAGCGUUCCGUGCUCUGCCACCGCCCGUUCAGCCUGAUGCCCAGCCCCAUCGGAAAGAGAAAGAAAAGAAAGAAAGAAAGAAGAAAGGAAAGAAAGAAAGAAAGAAAGAAAAAGAAAGAAAGAAAGAAAGAAAGAAAGAAAGAAAGAAAGAAAGAAAGAAAGAAAGAAA